AGAGCCGUGUCUCUCUACAGUGAGAGGUGUUUGUACGGCGGCUCAAUGAGUUUGUAUCACUGUGGUGGACUUUUGGUGGGGGAACCAGACUGGAUGUUGGAAGUGAUGUCCGUCCCACCCUGACGGUGCUGCCCCCCUCCAGUGAGGAGCUGCAGCAGGGGAAGGCCACGCUCAUGUGCCUGGCCAACAAGGGCUUCCCCUCAGACUGGAGUCUGGCCUGGAAGGUGGACGGCAGCAGCAGCAGCAGCAGCUGGGAGGAGAGCAGGGGCCCCGGGGUGCUGGAGAAGGACGGCCGCUACAGCUGGAGCAGCACCCUGAGGCUCCCUGCAGACCAGUGGAGGAAGGUGGGCUCUGUGACCUGUGAGGCCACCCAGGGCUCCCAGGCUCUGGUCUCAGAGACACAGAGGAGAGACCAGUGUUCCCAGUCCUGACCUGACUCACUGGGACUCUG